GUUGUCCGUUCGUCCCCUGGGGAUGCCGUUGACUGCAGCAGCCUCAGGCUUGCGUGGGCUGUCUCUGCCUGGCCUCCCUCUCCUCGCGGCGCGGGAGCCACAAAGGGACAGGCAGGGCACUUACCGGCUGUGGGCAGGAGCUGCUGCGGCUGAAGCUGGAGAGGCCAGAGAAAGAAACGAAGGAAACCGUCGUGGACACCAGUUUGCUGCUUGGAAACCCCCUUACCCUUCCCAUCUUGAUUUGAGUAUUGAAGAUUCCAGUCAGUAGAGCUAAGUGUAACUGACCAAUGAUUGUUUUUAAAUAAGAAUAUUGAUAAGGUUAUAUAAUCAAAGGACCAAUCCUUAGAAAGGUUAAAUUUAAGAACGAGCAUAGUAUGCCUUUUUAUGGAAAGAGCUUAUGUAACAAUGACCCAACAGAAAAA